GGAGAUUUUCAGUUUCAUUUUGCACAUCUUCAUGGACUGUGGAUCCGGGACAUGUUCAGAGGUCCCUUGGCUCUGUGCUCUCCAGAAGGUCCGACACUCCUAUUCCCUCCUGUGGGGCAGCAAGGCCUCUUCUCUUUGCGUUCCUCUCCCUGCACUGGGGAGAUUUGGUUGCAACUCCAGGGAUGCCUGGGAAAUCGUGGGAACAGGUGAGAAUGCUGGUUUCAAGACUGGCGUGUUUCUUUGCUGUUCUCCUUUGCGUGUGUAUGUGUGUGCUCAGCUGUGUCUGACUCUUUGCAGC
ensembl:lncRNA